rnacentral:lncRNA from 1 species
CGCCCGAUACUGUGCGCGUCCCGCACGGCACAUAAAAUGGGGCACAUGAGGCACCUGAAGCUCUCUUGAUGUGUUACAGUUCAUGCAUCUGCGCUCCGACACGUGCCCCUCGUACUGGUGUCGUGGUGUGCCAAAAUGGUGCAAGUCCGCACGGCUCUCCCGCCCGCUCCGUCCACACGACCCACAACCCACCGCGUGCUGCACGCACACAUUCUGCAAGGCCUACCAUUGCUACACAACACUAAACGUACAGACCAGGCAUACUCAGGGUCUCGAGGCAAGUGUGAAGGCAACCGAUACGGAUCCCCUGCCAGCACUACACCCAGCCACCCGCCGAUCACAGCAUAACACCAUGCGCGCACAGCGCCGCCUGCCAAUUCCGCUGCCGCCACCUGAAGUCUGCCGCUUGCCGCUAGCCGCCUCCAUACUUGAGCUCGGCCUGCAUGGUGUUUGGGGUAAGUUGGUCAGUGCAUGGUGGCACGGUGUCGUGCAGGGCAGGGCCUAGACCGCAUUGGGCCUCUUUCCAGUGGGGACUUUAGCCAUUUAGUGGCGCAGACUUUAGUGGGCUUCUUCCUCUGCGAUGCUAAAUGCUUGCUAACCUUGUAAUUUUAGGCUAGUAGCGACGAAGGCCUGUCAGUUGGCUUGCUGGGUGUUUGCCGCGUGUCACCCCUUGGGAAAGGCAGUCCCCGACCAGGUCGCAAAAUCCGACCUUGGCUUUACUCCGCCCCGAUUUGUCUCCUGGUAUAUUUAGUGUUGUAAUUGCAAUCCCACAAGGCAGCGGUACUGCGGCGGAGCAUUCUAAAGGGGGCGCCACUAAAUCGACUGGAAAGAGGCCCAUUCGGUCCCCUAGAACCAACUUCCCAUGUACGUCAUUCAAAUCCUAUCAUUCAUCCUAUUAUGAGUUGUGUAGCAACUUCCGAUCAAACUUGCCUGGUGAGGGUUAGAAGGGCCACGCAUUUACGCGCGCUGCGCCCCGAGUCGAAUUCCAGUGCCGGACCUGAGGAGACAAGGCGAGGGGGAGCGGGGGAGCUUCACACUCUGAAUCUCUGCUUAUGCUCUUACAACUUCGUCCAUACUGCGCAUGGAUGCUAGCUCGCUUGACCCCCUGAAUUUGUUGUCGCUUGUCGACCCCCUGAAAUGGCUGUCGCUAUGUGUCCUGACCUGCCUCACCUGGCACUGUUGAUUCCAGACUUGGUCUCUGAUGCUUGAUUUACAUCCUGUAACAGCAGCGUCAAGACCUGGCUUAGUUGUAGACCCGGUCAACGAGGGUCCGACACCCCCUGCGACAGCGCAGCCCAGCCCCAGCACCAGCAGCUCAUAACAUACCUUCCAAAGAUUGAUGCCAGGGCUUAGCAGGACUUGAAGACUCGCCCUGUAGACUUGAGCGCCAACUUUGAAAGCAAGUCCAUGGCCGACUGGCAGAGGACCACGAAGUCUCUACAUGGUGCUGAACGAUAGGUAUGUAGCUACAUGUGACAAAGACAGGUUGCUUGAAGAGUGAAAAACUGAACUCGAAAUAUAUGAGCCCCAUGCAGCCCCAUGCAACAAGGUACGCGCUCCAUGCUGGGUCGGGUCUUGAUUUGCUUGCAUGCUCCGGCUUAAGUUAAUCUACAGCAGGCCGGUACGUCAGUCUUCAGCGCCGGUCCGGGCACGGGUCUCGCCUCCGCCUGCGCCUCCGCGGCUUGUGCUUAGGGAACCACCUGAAUACCGGCUUUCUCGGCUUCGCAUGGUUCGUCUUUACAGCUUUCUCAAUAACGGGGAAAGCCUCAUAUGCACACGCACCUCCGCUCAUGCCCACCGCCGCAUGAAGGAAGGCCGGGGGAGGCCUGGUGGAUACGGUGUAGGGCUCCCAUGCACACGCACCUCCGCUCACGCCCACCGCCGCAUGAAGACACGCCGGGGAAACGCCUGGUGCGCUGGGCUGGAUACGGUGUAAGGCUCCCAUGCACACGCACCUCCGCUCAUGCCCACCGCCGCAUGAAGACACGCCGGGGGAACGCCUGGUGCGCCGGGCUGGAUACGGUGUAGGGCUCACAUGCACACGCACCCUCCGCUCACGCCCACCGCCGCAUGAAGACACGCCGGGGGAGGCCUGGUGCGCCGGACUGGAUACGGUGUAGGGCUCCCAUGCACACGCACCUCCGCUCACGCCCAUCGCCGCAUGAAGACACGCCGGGGGAACGCCUGGUGCGCCGGACUGGAUACGGUGUAGGGCUCCCAUGCACACGCACGUCCGCUCAUGCCCACCGCCGCAUGAAGACACGCCGGGGGAACGCCUGGUGCGCCGGGCUGGAUACGGUGUAGGGCUCCCAUGCACACGCACCUCCGCUCAUGCCCACCGCCGCAUGAAGACACGCCGGGGGAACGCCUGGUGCGCCAGGCUGGAUACGGUGUAGAGCUCCCAUGCACACGCACCCUCCGCUCACGCCCAUCGCCGCAUGAAGGAAGGCCGGGGGAGGCCUGGUGCGCCGGGCUGGAUACGGUGUAAGGCUUGAUUGCACACGCACCUCCGCUCACGCCCAUCGCCGCAUGAAGACACGCCGGGGGAACGCCAGGUGCGCCGGGCUGGAUACGGUGUAGGGCUCCCAUGCACACGCACCUCCGCUCACGCCCACCGCCGCAUGAAGACACGGAACGCCUGGUGCGCCGGGCUGGAUACGGGGUAAGGCUUACAUGCACACGGUCACCGUGGUUCUGCCCGACACUGUCAAUAAAGGUGCUGACAAGCACCAGUUUGUUUUCGGCUCCAUCGCGGCUGCUUGGAACAGUCACCGCCACGCACCGCCGCAACCCCGGCCGCUCCCGUUUAGCCCGCCCAUGCCUCCCGCUCCCGUGCUGAUUCCGGGCUGAUAGCAGCGCGCAGCAGCGGCACUCGCCAGCCUUCCUCCCCACCAGCGGCCGCGCAACCGGUGACUGCUGGCCAUGGGCAGCCGCGGCAGCCACAGCCUCUGCCGCGGCUGCUUGGAACAGUCACCGCCACGCACCGCCGCAACCCCGGCCGCUCCCGUUUACCCCGCCCAUGCCUCCCGCUCCCGUGCAGAUUCCGGGCUGAUAGCAGCGCGCAGCAGCGGCACUCGCCAGCCUUCCUCCCCACCAGCGGCCGCGCAACCGGUGACUGCUGGCCAUGGGCAGCCGCGGCAGCCACAGCCUCUGCCGCGGCUGCUUGGAACAGUCACCGCCACGCGCCGCCGCAACCCCGGCCGCUCCCCCCGUUUACCCUGCUCAUGCCUCCCGCUCCCGUGCAGGUCCCGGGCUGAUAGCAGCGCGCAGCAGCGGCAGUCGCCAGCCUUCCUCCCCACCAGCGGCCGCGCAACCGGUGACUGCUGGCCAUGGGCAGCCGCGGCAGCCACAGCCUCUGCCGCGGCUGCUUGGAACAGUCACCGCCACGCACCGCCGCAACCCCGGCCGCUCCCGUUUAGCCCGCCCAUGCCUCCCGCUCCCGUGCUGAUUCCGGGCUGAUAGCAGCGCGCAGCAGCGGCAGUCGCCAGCCUUCCUCCCCACCAGCGGCCGCGCAACCGGUGACUGCUGGCCAUGGGCAGCCGCGGCAGCCACAGCCUCUGCCGCGGCUGCUUGGAACAGUCACCGCCACGCACCGCCGCAACCCCGGCCGCUCCCGUUUAGCCCGCCCAUGCCUCCCGCUCCCGUGCAGAUUCCGGGCUGAUAGCAGCGCGCAGCAGCGGCACUCGCCAGCCUUCCUCCCCACCAGCGGCCGCGCAACCGGUGACUGCUGGCCAUGGGCAGCCGCGGCAGCCACAGCCUCUGCCGCGGCUGCUUGGAACAGUCACCGCCACGCGCCGCCGCAACCCCGGCCGCUCCCCCCGUUUACCCUGCUCAUGCCUCCCGCCCCCGUGCAGGUCCCGGGCUGAUAGCAGCGCGCAGCAGCGGCAGUCGCCAGCCUUCUUCCCCACCAGCGGCCGCGCAACCGGUGACUGCUGGCCAUGGGCAGCCGCGGCAGCCACAGCCUCUGCCGCGGCUGCUUGGAACAGUCACCGCCACGCACCGCCGCAACCCCGGCCGCUCCCGUUUAGCCCGCCCAUGCCUCCCGCUCCCGUGCAGAUUCCGGGCUGAUAGCAGCGCGCAGCAGCGGCACUCGCCAGCCUUCCUCCCACCCAGCGGCCGCGCAACCGGUGACUGCUGGCCAUGCGCAGCCGCGGCAGCCACAGCCUCUGCCGCGGCUGCUUGGAACAGUCACCGCCACGCGCCGCCGCAACCCCGGCCGCUCCCCCUGUUUACCCUGCUCAUGCCUCCCGCUCCCGUGCAGGUCCCGGGCUGAUAGCAGCGCGCAGCAGCGGCACUCGCCAGCCUUCUUCCCCACCAGCGGCCGCGCAACCGGUGACUGCUGGCCAUGGGCAGCCGCGGCAGCCACAGCUGCUGCCGCGGCUGCUUGGAACAGUCACCGCCACGCACCGCCGCAACCCCGGCCGCUCCCGUUUAGCCCGCCCAUGCCUCCCGCUCCCGUGCAGAUUCCGGGCUGAUAGCAGCGCGCAGCAGCGGCACUCGCCAGCCUUCCUCCCCACCAGCGGCCGCGCAACCGGUGACUGCUGGCCAUGGGCAGCCGCGGCAGCCACAGCCUCUGCCGCGGCUGUUUGGAACAGUCACCGCCACGCACCGCUGGCGCUCCCCCCGUUUACCGCGAUUACUACUUAGUACCUAGGUUUAACUCUUCAUACAUACAUACAACAUAGAGCCUGGCACUCGUUGCUUUGCCUUUGUUUAACAAGGCCCAUCCCUAACGCCUUUCUCAUGGCAAUUGCGUUAUACGUGCUAAUAUACUGUUUGUUAACGCAGCAAAUGUAGAAGCAAUAGUUUGCACGUUGCAGUGCAGUUGGGGGAUCGCGAGGUUUGGCAAAGUCAUCGUUCGCUAUGUGUCUACACUCUGUGAGUUGAGCAAGUACUUAAGGUGAAGGCUUUGACGGGGCUUGCGUCGGGGGCUUGCGUAUUCGUGGGGCGCAUGCGUCUGCAUGCGUUCCGCAUGCGUGCUUCGCACGCACAACCGAGAGGUUUGCCGCCCUCCCCGGCCCUCAUGCUUCUUGCGUUCCGUGGACGCAUGCGUCCCACCCCCAACGCAUGCUUUACGCACAAAAAGCAGGUGUAACGCACAAACCCGUCCUUAUAGUGGGAUACGGGCAAGCAUGCCACAAAUAUUUCCUGCGCAUGAAAUGGGACCCCACCAGCGAACCCGUAGACAAAUGCCCCACCCUCCAAGGGUGGACCCCUGCCAUCUCCGAACACCUGCGGAAACUUGCAGAACCCCCUACACCCACGCCACAACCCAAGCCCAAAGACGCCCGUCUUACACCUGCCCAACAGCAAGGGCGAUGGACGCAAGCCGACGUGGCCGCGUCCCACGUCCGACGCACCACCAAACAGAACACGCGCAUUGACACCAACCCGUGCAAUCCCUACCUCGACGUCCACCCCACCGGAAGGUAUACAAUCCAAAUCCCAGACACGUACACUGAUGAACGCACCCUCACCCACGUCUACAACCCUACCGGACGCCACAUAGCAUCCGUUACGCUAGGUACCUUGCUGACUCUUAAAGCUCGGUAUGAACACGCCCUAUCUACCCACCAUGACGCAACCAGCCCGCACCGAUCUCAAGGGGGCUUCCCGGAAGACUUGGCUAAACUGCUACUCCGCACACGGGUAGACAGCAAAGGCAAGACAUGCAAGUCGGCCCCCACACGUGAGCGCUCUCUCCCCGAGUCCCUGAAGCUGGCGCUGUACAACUGCCUUGCCUCGACACACUCAGACCCUGACCGCCCAGUGGGGCUGGUGGAACGGUUUGCCUCUCCACUCAACUGCUCGGGCCGGGCCACUAAAUAUUACAGCCAACACGCAGCUGACUCCCUCUUCGGGGCCUCACAUGAUGCGUACACGGCCCCGUUUGAUGGCCUUUCCCUCGCCCACCCUGACCCUGACCCAGACGCCUGCACAAAGGCACUGGCGUGGGCAACAGCAUCGAUCGAACACCUAGAACACCAGGCCACCCCCGCCAUCACCUUCAUGAUUAUCCCACAAGGCAAAGGCGCCGCCAGCCGGUGCCUUGCGAGUCCACAUGUCACCAUCCUGGCCCUGAUUCCACCUGGCGUAUCCGCCUCUAGCAUGUUAGAUGGCCUUGGGGCGGCCGACGAGGCUGCCAGCAGCAAGCAGGGCCUGCAGCUACUCCUCAUUGCGAACACCACAGGGGUACAAGCACUCAACUCCAACAACAACCUGACACGUCUCCAAACCUCCCUGGCCGAACUUGGAGCGGUGCCGCCACCGACCUCACAACCCCCAGGGCGCCGACAACCACUGGAGUGGCCCGCGCGCGUAACCCUCCCCCGCGACCGCACAGCCCCACCGGGCCGACCAUACAGCCACCGUGCAAAAGCCCGUGCAAAGCAGCUAACUAGACCCCAAGCACCAGCAGCACAGGGCCUGGACACAUGCCCUACGCCCAUGCCCACGCUCUCUGCCCUCUACACCACACGAGCUGCCUUCCCCGCUCGGAGCAGCUACCUGUACGAUGCCGCCACCAUUGUUUGGACCGACGGAUCUUGCAUCAAAGCUGCGGCCGGUGAAGAUGGCAAUGAAAUGAACAAACUCGGUGCUUGCGCGUGGUCCCAACAGACCGAACACAUCUACGUCGAACCAGGCGGCCUCAACAGCACCAACACAAUCCAGAGAGCCGAACUAUCAGCCAUUCUCGUGGCGUUAGAAUACAUCCGCCCCCGACUCUGUCUGAUGGGCAUGACCCAAGUAACCAUAGCCAGUGAUUCCCUAGUGUCUCUCUACUUGAUCCGCCGAGCCCUCACUGCACCACAACGACUCCUACUAUCCAAGCAUAAAAACCUGCUGGAAAACAUUCUCCACGAGCUACAAAUGUAUGCCGACGCCGGGGUCCCAGUCCAGCUGCUGAAAGUCCGCUCUCACACAGGGCUCCACGGCAACGAGGAAGCUGACAAAGGUGCAGCCAAAGUCGCCGCCAACGACAUGGAGGCCAUGGGGCAGGCCAUACGCUUAGCACCAGACGAACCGUGGUCCAACAUCUGGUGGCCCAAACGCAACUCUGACAAUUUCUACCUAAGCGACCUAAACCGUGGAGUCCUGAACUCAUUGCCCCCCGAAGCACAACAAGGCUUUACCAAUAAUACUCCAGUGCUGGAGCAAUGGGCGGAAGCAUCUGCCAACAUGUGCCCCACCCUCAGCAACCGCACCCUCGCCAGCUCCACCAGGCACCCCUGGCUGGUCAAGCAAAUACUCUACGCCCGCUACGGCUACCUCUUCAACGCACAGCUUAAACGGCGCUACCGCCUGGGAGGGAACGGCAACUGCCCCCUCUGCCACACCCCUGACUCCGGAGGGCACAUCCUCGGAGGCUGCACACACCCUAAAAUGAAAGGCGCGUACAUCAAUCGGCACAACUGGGCAGUCCAGCGUAUCGCCAAAUGCAUCUCCAAAGGGACCUACGGGAACGGGUUCAUGGUCAUGGACGCGGGCCCCCUAGCCGACCUGCCACACUAUGCGUCUGCACAACGCCCCCCCGCCUGGCUGGCUGCGGAGAGGACAUCAUCACCCCUUAUUACAAGGCUCAGACCUGACAUUCUGUUCAUCCCAAACCUGCCCGCCCAUGAAACACAUAGAGAAGGGUACCGCCCGCCCCUGAACAAAGCACGGCUGCCCAUCUAUAUCCUUGAAAUCGGUUACAGCUCUGACGUCCGCCAUUUGGACAAGCGGGAAGAAAAAUCUCAACAACACCAAGAACUCAAGCGACUGCUGGAAGCGGCCGGAUGGACGGUCCACUACUCCACCAAUGAAUGCCUUGCGCUCGGAGUGACUGGGGCCAUCCCUUGCAACCUCACUAAGCUGCUCACCUCUCAACUUGGGGUGACCCACACAGCCGCACGAGUAUGCGGAGAGAGGCUCCACACACACGCUGUGAACAGUGCGGGCGGCAUUAUCAAAAUGCGCCGAGUAACCGAGCAGGAACUCAAACCGAGAGGCGGGUGAGCCACGGCUCCCCCACACCUCCUCGGAGUGCGUGGUGAGGUGGCAGCGCGAGGGGGAUGGGCCUCCUCGCCCUAGCCACCUUACCCCGAUAAUCCACGCCAGGCCCCAUGGGCCGGCGUUUGAAUUAUUAUUAUUAUGCCUGUGGGCGACCUGGUCAGGCCUGCUGCGCCGGCGACACCGUGGCCCGCCACAGGCAGCGCCGCUGCCACUCUCUGGGUGGCUGUUUUCCGCUGCUUUGCUAAAGGGGCGGGCCCCACAUUCGCCUGCAAGUGAAUAACGGCAGGCAUGCAGCGCUGUGAAAGUAUCCUUGGUGAGGAAGCCCGCAACCCAUCCCUCAACCCCCCACGCACCGUGCGACGCUUCGUUUCCUGCCCACCGCGUUGUUGCCUGACCUGUGCGGUACACGAUGACACGCAUGUGUUCUUUGGCGUGACUCACGGCACACGGCUCUGCAGACUCGCAAUGAGGUCUAGUCUUGGUCCUGGCACGCUGCCCAUGCUUGCACGCCCAUGCAUUCCCCGUGCUUCCACAGGCCUGCACCCCAGGUAGUCACCCCUGCCCAACUCACUGCUCGAGCCACCACAGCGCUGGCCGGUGUGCUGCGCCGUGGGUUGCUGCCCCCCACACUCUUGAUGGGCGCUGCAGCCGCCAGGGCACUGGCCUGCGGCCUGCCGGUCAACAGCAAGUCGCCAUCAGACACUGAUACCGGCAAUGUGGCCCCCGGCGACUGAUGAGCUGCAGUGGAACAUACCUCCGCUCCGAUCCCUCCGGUUCGUUGUGCUGCUGAUGCCACACCCUGUGCGGCAAUGCGGCCAGAGGUCCCGCGUGGACCAGGCGUGGCCGCGCCUGGCUCUACAGACCUGCCCCCGCCUGCCACAGCUUGCGUGCCAGCUGCCAGCCUGCACGUGGGGUUCAUCGGCAGUAUGCAGAUGUGAUCUGCUGGCAGAACAGACAGACCCGCCUGGCGCGGCGCACACUGAACAAAUCUCCAGCCACCCACCCAUUCCAUCCCCUGCCCACGCUCACCUGCACACUUACCCGAUAGCGUGUGAUGCCGCCACCACGGCAGCUACCUGCUCGCGACCCAAGGCGCGCAAGUCCCCCUUGGGCACCUCACCCGACGGCCCGGUCGCGGGCGCCUGUCCAGCCAGCUGCCGCCCGCAACACUACCUCCUGCUGCCCGCGCAGCAGCUCCUGCGCAGUCUUGACGUCCGCCCCCUUGACAUAGAAUGCGCUGCCGUACACAUCACAACGGGCCCGCCCAACCUUGUCCACCGGUGCUUCCAGCACCUCGGACCCAUGCGCGACAGCCCUUCCCUCCAGAAGCACCAUGUCCCCGUGCUUGAUCUCGAUCCAGGACUGCACCCCACCGAGGACAAACAUGGACCGCCCGUGGACCGCCACCCCAGGCGAGCUGCUCGAGCACCCAGCUUCGCUGGCGACUCCCUGCAUGUACAGGUGCCACGCCCUGGGUCACUACGAUUCCAUGACAACGCCUUUGCAUUAACCCCCGCCCUAACCGCCCAGCCCUGGCAGUGCCGGGCCCCGCCCCCCCCCUCCAUCCCCCGCGUCCCGUCCCAUGUGCUCCGCUCCUGCUUGCAGCCUCCACCCUGCGGACCCCGCCCCAGGCUCCCGCCCACCGCACCCUACCCCCCGGCUCCCGCUCCCGCCCCCCACCUAGCCCCCCACACCCCAACUCAACACGACCUAUUUUCGUAACCGCUCACCGUGCGCCCACACGAUGACGGUCCUAUCAAAGUCCUCCUUGUCCAUGUGCUGGUAGGCGCGGCGGUUCAAGGACCUGGACACUAGUUGAAAAGGUGCAUACUCCUCGUCCAGGCACAGCAUCAGCCCGCCACCCGCAAGCGGGAUGUACGCACGCCGCAGCGCCUCUGGAUACAGGCCCUGCAGCUGCUUCCCCUCCUCCACGGCGUACGCUGCCACUGCCGCGCGCUCCUCCGGGGUGCCGGCGGCGUUGUGCGCGUACCAGUACGCCGCGACAUACUUGCCGCGAGUGUGCCAGCAGUUGACGCGCUUGCCCGCCAUCAGCAGCUGCUUCCCUGGCGCUUGGCUACUGCGCUCGGACACCACCUUAUUGAACGCGGACUCCGACUUUACCUGUGCAUGCCGAAGCCGGUUCCCACGGUCCGCCGUGCCUGGCCAGUAUGUACCCAGCAGCUGCAGGUCAGGCCACUCUGCAACCUGCUCGCCCCAUGCCUUGGGCAGGCCAGCGCACACCUGAAUGCUGGCCACUGCUGAAGCAUAGGGGCGGGGGGGGGGUGCACAUCGCACAUGAGAGGGACCUGGUGCUGGUAGCACAGCACGAAUUGCACACCAGCGGGGAACGAGAAUGCAGGGGCGAAAAGCGGAGUCGCGCUGCACUGACGGAGCAAGUGUACACGACACGGGGCAGGAGGGUGAAGCAGGGCCCAGCCGCACUGACGUGGCAAACAGUGGCAAACAGUGCAGCCAAGCAAAUUGUGACCAGGCCCGGCCAGCGCUCGUAUCUUCCUUCGUUCGGAACGAAAUUUGCCCAAAAAGGCCUCUGGCGGACGAAAUUUUUUUGUUCUUGACUGGGGAAUUUCGGCCAAAACGCACGGGAUCUUGGGGGGUCUUUCGGCAAAUAGACGAAGACAUUUUUGGGAUUUCGGCCACUUGUGGCCAAGGACAGGGGGUUCCAGCGGCUACUCCACAGCCGAAACCUGCGUGGCAUAUGGUAAGAAGGCUCAAAGGGCUGUAUCUAUGGGUGUUGACGGCGGGAGACAGGGGUUCCCCUGACGGGAGAGUGAGGUUGGGUCGGCGGGAAGCAGGGAAGGAGUGGGCGUAUCGUGUCGGUGUCGACAUCGUGCGGGUCGGGGGCGGAGCCCCCGGAAACAUUUUGGGGGUGAACGAAGCGGCGGCAGCCUGUUUCGUCAACUAAACGAAGCCAUUUUAAGGAAUUCGGCCACUGACGCCGCCCCUGCCUUCGUAAGAUACGAGCGCUGGGCCCGGCGCCCCCACGCGGGCGGUGGAGGUCAGUCCACUUCCGCUGCCAGCCCCCGCACCUCAGGUGUCCGCCUCAGGUGGGCACAGCGAUGGCGAUUGCUGCCCGGGCGUCAGGCCACCCCCGCGACAUACCCACAACCCCACGCUCACCCACCCGUACACUUCACAUUGAAUUCACAUUGAACCCUUCCUGAUAUAGCUGUGCUACGGCCCCCUCAAGCCAGCUGGACUUGUUAUGCUAGCCGCGACCCCAUGUGCAAGGAAAGGGAGUUGUCCUGGUGGGCCGUGGGCGGCAGGGGACUCGGAAUUGUGGGCACGGGGACGGCGAAACACAGGCAGAACCCCCUGACCCCUGCGCAGUAACUCUUUGGCCCCUAUAUUGCCGUCGAUACUUGAUACCAUAUUUAUCACGAACAAAGCUUAAGGAGGGGUAAAUGCGAACCGUCACAAAGGAUUGGCAUGCGUGCCCUCACUUUUCACCCAAGUGCCUCCUCGCACGCUGUUGAGUAGCAUCAUAUAUUCAAGUAUUGCUGUGGAUCUGUGUGAGAUUAACCCGUGGCAUUAUCUCGCAAGGAACAGGAACUUUCGUUUCCGGUCCCCAUAAUCCAUCCGCGUAGACAGUUUGGUCGGGGUGACACACCACAUUUCACUAAUACAACUUUCAUAACUACUUUGAUAUCGAUGCACAAAGCCUGAUUCUGUUUUUUUUUCCCCUCCCCUAACUGUGAACUUUUCCUCGUUGUCCUAUAUAGCGGUAGCAUCUCAUUGAUUGUUGGGGCAGGUCCCUACCGCUGCAGCCGUACGCGACACACGGAAGACGACAAGUCGGUGUACUUACUUUGCGGGACCGCGCUGCCAUUAUCAUCCUCGUUCAAACAGGAGAAACGUUUUAUAAUGGCAAAGGCAGAGUUAUCGCGUUAGAGUCUUUGACCAGGCGACCGAAGCUCUCAAUCGCUGCUACUCCAGAAUGCAGCGCAGCAACUCUCAGAUUGAGAGGCGUAGCAGUUGCAACCUUGACGUGCCGGUUGCAAAGGAGGCACGAGCGCGGCGGGCGUCCUGCUUGCUCACCGACGCCGGUGGGACUCUAGACCAGCGUGGGCUGGACAGGCUUACUAACGCGUCGUCUGAAAUGCGCAUGGAGUUGUCUAUGACGGGUGCUCAUCUCCGGAAAUGCUGCGUGACUGGCGAACACAGCAGCAAUGGGUUGGGGAUUUCGGGAAUGUGGGGUAAAAACGGCACGGCAGAGCGGCACAUUACAACGCUCACACACGCCAUCGUGUGUGCUCAUCGCUUUCUGCUUUCACACGCACGCCACCGCGCGCUCGUCCUUGAAGUUAACCCGCAGUAACAAAGGACCGUUUGGGCGGGGAUGGUGGUUACUCGCAUGGCACAGCAAAAGUGCAUUGUGCCCACCACCCCCGUUUGCUUUCACGGCUGCUGCAGGCCGCGGGUUCCCGGGGGCCCUGGCGGCAGCAACGGCAUACGACUACGCGCCCAAAGGCAGCUUUGGAAAGUCUGGAAAGACAGGCAUCUACGUCGUAGGCACGGGCGCAGCUAGAAAGCGGGUGAGUUCUUUGUGUUGACCGGCUACGGCUGGGCUACGGCGAUUGUAAGUAGGUUGGGGUAUUGGAUUGCGCCCAGGAACAGGCCGUGCAGCACUGCAGCUGACCGUACUUGCAAUCUACCCUGUCGCAGUUCCUGGUGGUGGUUCCGGAUAUCUUUGGGUUGGAAAGCAAGCAGGUGGGGCGAGGGCGUGGCGCGAGGGGGUCGCAGGCCAGGGCGCGGGCCGGGCACACAUGGCAUGGGCCGAGUGGCCCCACUGGCACUGGGUUGGGGGCUUGGGGGCUUGGAGGCUUGAGGCAGAAAUGCAUACAUGCCCUACAUGUGGCGAUACGCCUUGCGCAUCAGUGAUCUACUUAUGAGCUAGAUGAUUCAGUGGUAUAACAUGCAUGAAUGGUCCUCUCGCCUUGUGUCCUCCGCUUUGUAUCCUCGACGCCGCCUACCUCCGUUUGCGCAUGAGCAGUUCCUCCAGGUGUGUGAGUGUGUGCGAGUGAGCUGGUCAACAAUACGUAUGUGCGUCAGUGUGUGUUAAGAAGCACAAGGAACGGGUCAUUGGGUUACGCUGUGUCCAUGUGUAUACGGGCUGUGGGCUGCAAGGCCGCUGCAUGUUUGUUGCAGCCCAGUGGCCGAAGCCCGUGCCAUUGUGGCGGCUGCCUGGUGACAAUGCGUGGCACACGCGCACGCUGCCCGUGGCCGCAACCUAUUUGCAGUCUCUGCCACCAGCUCGUAACAUCUGCUCAUCUCUGGCCUGUGACGGUCACGCGGGUCACGCCUUUGUGUGUGCUUGAUCGCCCACAGGCAUGUGACCGGUUCGCGGAGGCUGGCUGGGCUGACCGUGGUCGCCUUCGACCCUUUCAUGGGCCUCCCCUGGCCCACUGCCAGGUUCCCUCCCCGUCCAGGUGCGUUUGCCAGGCACUUAAAGCUGCAACGCACGUGCCUGGCCGCCUGCGAAGAGAGCUGAUCUGGAUCGGCAACGCCUCGCCGCUGUUUGAAUUGCUUGCUUAUUGAGAACCAUGGCGUAACGGCCUGCGCAAACCGAUAUACGACAACGGUUGACCAGCGCUUUAGCGUGGGUGCCAGACGCCUGGCUCAAACCGCAGCUGUUACAGCACGCUACCCCUCUAUACGCGGCCUUCAAAACACCACCCGCCAUCCUCAAAACACCUGACAUGCCGGUAGCAACAAACACCCGUGCCCCCUGCCCCUCUUCCUCCAGAGCACGGCUACGAGCGCUGGCUGCAGGUCACGGGCGCCUGGACCCGGGUGGAGCCGAUGCUUGAGGACGCGGUGCGGAGGGUGCGGCAGCUGGCAGCGGAGUCGGGCGACCGCAGCCUGAAUACCAAGAUCGGCUGCUUCGGCUUUGGCUGGGGCGGCAUGGUGGCGCUGAUGGCAGGGCGCAAGGUGCGGGAGCGGGCUGUCGCGGGGUUGGGGGCGUGGAGUGCUGGCUCACUUUGAGCGCACUGCUUGCCCCUCUCUCGAGCUGGUCUCAGUCCCUUCGCAUAUGCUGCGCCGUGCUACGACGUGGUGUGUUGCCAACACAACACACAGGCGGCCAGCGACCUGGGUGGCUCGCUGUUCUACGGCGUGGGCGCCGGCAACCCCGACCUGGGCGCGGCCGAGGCGGCAGGGCUGGACGCGGCCUGGUUCAAGGCCAUCAAGUGCCCCGUGGUGGUGUUGUACGCCAAGGUGAGAGCCCACGCGCAUGUGUGAGGGAGCACAAGCAGUCAAGGACGCAUAUGCACCGUAUGUCACAUAGCAUAUGGGAACAGAGAACACAGGACGCGCUUGUGCAUGUAGUCGGACAAGUGUUCCCCAGUCACGGGAAAAGGGGCUGAGCCCCUCCACAGUCUGAGGCCGAACAGCCUCAUCGCCCGGACAUAGCCGGGGUCGGUUUCCACAGGCACAUAGCCAAACCAGGUGCCUAUCUAGCAGGCAGACAGGCAGGCAGGCAGGCAGGCAGGCAGGCAGGCAGGCAGGCAGGCAGGCACGCACGGACAGGGGCAAUCCUGGGGGGCUUCGCCCCCCCCUUGGAUCGCUUCGCUCGGGGGCCUCAGCCCAAAAACGCUUGUGCAUGUAGUCGGACAAUGGGGGCUCCCGCAGGAGCACAGUGUGUGCGGGACUGCAGUUGGGAUCAGUAGCGUACGCAGCUGGUGGCUCGCGCCGUCGCUCCUGACGCCACACGGCACUGAGGCGGCGACAAUGACCGCUGCACAAUGCUUUGCGCUGUGCAGGCUGAGCUUCCCGUGAUGAGGCUCAUGGAGAUGAACGCCGAGCUGCGGAUGACGUUCGGGUGAGUGAGCAAUUGACGGAGUGAGCACCUUCGCCUUCCAAAUCCAUUGCCAGUGACAAUGGCUGUGACAGCGCAACGUGCCCGCAGAGCAGCCAGCCUCGCGCGUCCCUUACAACACGCGCCGCGUCAGCGCGUGCGGCACCUGCCUCGCGGAUUGCCUGCAUCGGAGUCCCCAAGCUAGCUGUGUGCACGCAACGGCAAUCAAUGUUGAACGCCCUGUCCUGCCCUCACAACCCGCAAUGAAAUCUGCUCACCUCUCAACUAAAAAGGAGACUGUGUGCGCCGUGCGCCAUGUGCCGUGGUCACUUCCCCGUGUGCCCCGCUGCAGGGCUGGCGGGUCUCUGGUUCAGCCCACGGACACUGAGGCAACGGGCGUGGUGACGCGCGGCGACUGGACGCAGCCCGAGACCGCCGCUGCCGCGGGACGGGUCGUAGAGAGCAUGACCGGCUGGCUGAAUAAGCACUUUGAGGGGGAGAAGAUCUGACGAGUCGGCCGUGUGCAUGCAGUGUAGGUGCCCAAGUGGGCGUCGCAGGGAGGGCGGCGCGGCCACGGGGGCUACCGAGCAGUGGACUUGCAGGCGUGGCGGGCGUGGUAAUGGCUGCUUCAGCAGCGCUUGGACUACCGUACUUGUAGGAGGAUCGCUGGUGGCGUGGCUGGACACGGGAAAGCGAGAAAUGCUCAAGCCGCAGGCGGCAUCCCGUAUAGACGCGGCCCAGGCCGUCGCCCAGACAGGGCGGCCACCUUCAGGGCGUGGUUGCCCUUGCUCAUCAAGGUGGCAUCCUGUAUUUUUAUCUGGCGAGUCGUCCCAGGUUCGAUCUUGUGGCGUGAGAGCCGCCUCACCCCGGUGAGUGCACGUGCUUAGUGCUGUGGCGCAGUAGGGUGCUCAAGUGCGCUUUCGCAGCAUUCUGAGCUCGGCAUUGCUGGGUGGCGUGUCGUGGGUGCGUGCGGACGUGCGGUCGCGACACGUCUGUGCUGGCAGCAUUGGAUGGAGCUAAUGAAGUCUUAAUCGUUGGAUGCCGUGAACAUGUCUCGCUAAUACCGUCAUACGUAAGCAGGCUCAGCUGCAGUUUGGUACACGCAUCGCUGUGGGGGUCAGGAUGCGACCUGAAUGUGGAGUUGGGUGCGGCUUGAAUGCUAGCCGUCCGGACGUUGCCGUCGUUGCGCGUACUGUGCGUUGCCGUCGUUGCGCGUGCUGCUUCUGUAUACGUGUGCUGGCGGCCCUUGUGCGGCGGCUCUUGUAACCAAUGCAAUCUUGUGCGGCAGCGCAAGGACGGCAAGGUUGACUGCGCGCGGAACUAACACCCUUCCCAUGUUAUCAAUGCCUGAGCCCUGACUCCUGAAGGAGUGUGUAAAUGUCGUGGGAGGAGGCAGGUCCAUGGCUGGCAUACAUGCUUAAUGGGGCACAAGCGCCGGCCUUUCACACGGCGCGGUCAGACAUCAGUCAUGCAGGCCUCAGCAAGCUCAACCCUCCCCUGAGCUCAACCCUCCAGCUGUCCGCACCUGCCUGCGCGCCUUCCUCUAUUAGAUUCUCAUACGUUUUUCGCAUACGGUCCGCCCUGGCGGGAUUGAGAGUGAACACCCCGCGGUUCCUGGACGCGGCCACGCCAUCGAUAUCCCGCCUGGCACCAGGUCACCGGCUUUACUCAGCCUCACCCAACUGCGUCCGCAACGUUGCUCGAUUAUAUAAGCAAUACAAUGAGCCAUAGCAGGCGCGCGUCUGAGUCAGGGCCGCCGAAGGGCCCGGGUCCUGGCUACGCACAGGUGGCACUCCGCCAACCUUUGCGGUGGCCGGCGGCAUAUUAGGCUGCUAUCUGUUGUAUUUUCAGUAAUCUCAUAAAAAACGCUGAACCGCUUGGCAAGUCCAGUCCGGCUACGCUUUUUGCCUGCAAACAUCCAUUCGGAGCCUAUGUCUUGCAAACGGCAGUUUUCUUAAGUACGAGGAUAUCUGCAAGUUGUUUGCAUCACACUGCACAAUUGUUUUUUUGACAGCGGCGCGCCCGCCGAGGGGCGCGAGUUGGUGCGGGACUCAAGGCGGUCCCACAUCUGAAACCACAAUACUUAGACAAUGAAAGGCAAAAUAAGACAGGCAAGACCCCACGGUUGUGCAAAAAUCGUCAAAUCACGAUCCAUCCUCGAUCGCCCCGAUUUUCUGAGUGGAAUUGGACUCGGCACCGCUACCCUCCCUACACUCAUUCCCAAUUCACAAAGAACAACACCAAAACAACAUUUACAACAAGGGCAUUGGCUUAGAUUGCCGAGCCCCAGUCUGCAAUUCCCUCGUCACAAUUGCCUCCCCGGCGCCCCCGGCCUGCGCAGCGAUGCUGCAAGGGCCAGUGAUGUUGAGUCCGUUGCACUGCCCUCGCCCAGCCCACCUGGCGAGCGCUCGGGCUGUGCAGCGGCCCCGCAAAUCAGCGCUUGUUGUGGACGACCUUGCGGUGAACCGCCUCAUCCUUGGAACCAUCCUGCACAAGGUAGGUUACAUCGUAAGGCUGUCAUCGGCCCCACGUCUAGGGGCCGACGCGAACGGACCGGUCACCGGGUGUAUCGGCGAGGGGGUACCGUAUCUAGGCUUCCGCCGAAGAUUGCCCGCAGGAGCCGGCUCCGUCGCAUAGUCGCUGAUAUUUACUGGCUAUCUUGAUGCAGCGCUUUCCGGUCUUGUGCUGGGUUGGCGCGGACGAGGUGCUUUUCCUAACAAUUGCACUGUGUACCUGUCACUGCAGCUUGGUUUCGAGGUUCUGGAGGCGGAGAAUGGUAACCAGUGCGUGGACGUAUACAGCAAGGCGCACCGCGACAUCGUCUGCGUCUUCCUGGUGAGGGUUCCGGGGACGCAAGCUUACUCAACGAAUGCCGACACUGAGGUGUUGAGCGUGUCGACACCAUGGCGAAGAGCCUUUAUACCAUGUAAUUGAACACUUAUCAAACUAUAUCGACAGGACCUACAAAUGCCCGUGGCGGACGGUUGGGCGGCAACAAAGGGCAUGCGCGAGCUGGAUGCCGCGCGCGCCCGGAGCGGGAGCGAGCAGCAGCUACAGGUUCCCGUGGUAGUCUGCACUGCCUCAUGCCUGGACGACCUUGUGGAAGGCGGCGAGACGGUGGCGCAGCGCGCGCUCACCCUGGGCGCCAACGGCGCUGUGGUGAGUUCGCAGGACCGCGCCCCAGACCCGUUUGCCUCCACAACCGCUACCGCGCCCGAGGUGCAGAGCCCUGACCGUUGCACAACUGUUACCGUAUCCUGCUGACAACAAUCGUGCCCGCCGCCACUUCUCAUUAAAUGCAGCGCAAGCCGCUGACAACCAAGGCCGUGCUAGCGCUGCUGGAUGAGUACGCACCCCGCUGGCGUUCGACCAUGGAGCAGCAGCAGCAACACGCCGCAGUGGGAGGUAGCAGCCCGAUGAGCCCAGACGCCGCCGCUGGUGCGGCGCCGGGCGGCUUCUCAGUUGCGCCACGGGCGGACGGGCUUGCGGCGCCGCACGGGCGCGGCACGCACGCAGAGCACCACUCGUGGAGCGGGCUACAUGUGCAGCAUCGCACAAUGCCACACCAGCAGCAGCACCAGCAGUAUGCAUCCAUCUCGCGUCAACACCAGCAGCAGCGGCCAGCCGAGUGCCGGUGCACGUCGGCUUCUGGCGUCUGCCUCGCCAGCGCCUGCGCCUGCGGUGCCGGCGCGACCCGACCCGCCCCAGCGGCACCACCGCCACCAGCGCCAUCAGCAAGGGCACAUGGAGGGACCGGCGGGCGCUUCUUGCAGCUAGGCGGCUCCGGAGGCCCUCUGGACGGGCGAACGCUCGUGUUCUGCACCAGUCGCGACCUGGCCAUGAACGGGGGAACCAACCCCACCUCCGCGGCAGGGCUCCGGCAGCAGGCGCGCCAGCACGCGCAGCAGCUGUUGCUGAAGCGAUGCGGGCGCAGCCACCGCGACCUGUCGCGCACGCGGCCAGAAUGCCUGGACGGCGACUCGGGCAGCGCUGCGGCGUCGGUGCAUGCGACGGCGACGGCGCUGCAGCGUCGCAUGUCGUUUGACGUGGCGGCGAUGUCGUGGAUGAUGGCGGCGCGGCGGAGCACCUCGCCCGGCUACAGCCGCGCCUCGGGAAUGGCGUUGCCGGCCCACCUGGCGGUGACCGCCGCCGCCCUGGGCUGAGAGUUAGCGCUGAUGAUGCUGUUGGUGCGGCAGAUGAGGGCAGGGCAGGGAAGUUGCCGCGGUGUGUGUGUGUGAGUGUGUGUGUGGUCGCGCGCUGGCGUUGCCGGCAUGGUUGGUUCGGGCCAGAAAGACCUAGACCUGGAUGUAUCAAGAAACCGCUAUGCGGGGCUUGGCUGCUUGGCGCUGGUGCUGUCGUUUGUGUGUGUUUGGCGCUAUUCGCGUCGUAGCCCUUGAGAAAAUACAAAAUUGUGAGCCGUAUUUGUGGAGCGUGGUCUUGCGCGGGGCGCGAUGUGCACCGCUGUCGGCGCCGCCGUUGCUCAUAUUAGUUGGUCGUGGGUACAUAACUGCAGUGCCGCGUAUUUGUUUCGUUGCAGCUAUCAUGUUAUUUGUGGUUUGCCUGUAUGUUUAGGUUGGAUUUGCUGCAUCCGUACUUCGCAGAGCACUUUUUCAAGGUGAUUCUGUGGGCAUCGGUUUCCUGUUCGUGGGAAAGGCGUGGCAUAUGCAUGCGCCGCCCGGCCGCUGGCUGUGGGCCGGGGCGCUGAGUGCACAGGUUGCUGCAAGUAUACACACACACCGGCAUGCGACUCAAGGGCUAUCAGGGGGCGAGAGAGCAAGGAUGCGCCUUCUGUGGCUGGUGUGGUGUUGGAUUUGCUCGAUGUGCGGGGGUUGGGCCACUAGACUCUGUAGGUCGCUGGGCGCCCGGCAAACGCCCCAUAGCGGUACCAUGCAACGUACCGCACGCACGUUUGCUGUGGCUCGUGUGCGAUGCGACAAGGCGAACAGCAAUCGAGCCUCCGGAUUGAAAGCAAUGCAGCACCUGUUCUACACUGCGAAUGUCACUGUCCCUGUGUUUGUCAGGUGCGAUUUAAAAGUGUAUGUAGCGGCGGGCGCGAGGCGCAGGAGGCACGAAGAUACAUAAUUACGGUUGGGUGUACGUUACUUAAGUAAUUCAAAGGUGUGGUUCAUGGUGGGAGUGGCGGCACUGCACACUGGCACCGAUGGCCCGUGACGCGGCGAGCGGCCGGGUGCGGCUGCAAUCAGGUUAGAGCAACGAGUAUUCAGGAUUCGAGGUGAUUGGGCAGGGGAAAGCGGGUGUGUGAAUUCUCCAGAGCGGGGGUCGCGCCCCGCUGUGAGCAUACGUGGGUUUUCAGGUGAAAGGCGAGGAAGCGGUUUCUAUCGCCUCGCGCAAGACUGUAGGCUGCACUGCAUCGCUGGCAGAGCGUGGGAUAGCUAGGACGAAGGACGAGACGGACGGCUGUUCGUAACGAGCCCUACAUGCCGGCAACCACAGAAGGCUGCUGAUCGUGCUCACACACGCAUAUACCGGUACCUGAGUAAGAGGAUGAAGAGGAGGAUGGGGUUGUCGGCGCUUUGAGGUGAUGGCUGCAUACAAGGCUGUGGGGCUUGCGGCGGAAGGAGGUUCGCGGCUAUUCAGCGCCCCCUGACAUCUGGCGCAAGUCCUCACGCCGCCACCCUAAGCACGGCAUACUUUUUUGUGGUGGGCUGCAGUACGGUUUUUGCAAGUACUGUACCCAGGUCCGGCCUUUUUGGUGUGGGUUUACUCCUUUACGUAUGCGCACGCUCCGCCCUUGAAUGUAUGGCAUGCCAUGGCCAGCGGGCAAUUCCUCGCUGAGUCAACAUGGCACGGGCGGCAGCGUUGCGGUUAAGGGAGGUGCUAUGUGUGUGGAGGAUGGCCCCACAUACCGAGCAGAAAAAGCAGCGCUGUGUAUUGCGUAAGGCGGUGUGACGACGGCCAGAAUUGAAGAGUGCAGUACAACUGAAGAAGAAAGAAGGCGGUGCGCAGUCGCCAUGAAAUGAUGAGAAGAUGAAUUUGUCACAGAGGUUUGUGUGAGACAUGUCUGAGACGGGGGCUGCUCAGGGGCGAGGCCGGCCGGCGUGUGGCGCCAAGCCUUUGGCUGUUUGCGGCAGGACAGGUUUGCAGCUGCGGUCACAGCAUUGAGCUGUAGCCGUGGAAGGGGGGCGCCACAACGGAAUGCCCGCAACGCCAAAACGUACAGGCACCAGGUGCUGCAAGCACAGGUGGCGUGGCUGAACGAUCCGAGCUGAGCUGAGGUGUCGUGCCACUGCGUGUAACAACGGACCGGCCCUGAUCUCGUCUGAUGCCAAUCCCUUGUCGCUGCGUCCAUGGCAUAGCUACCUCAGCCGCCGCACUGUCCACUGUCCGAACUCCGAAGUGGCGACAGAGUCCCCUUGUCACCGACAUGCCACCAGUGGUCGUGGCGGUCGGGGUAAGGUAGGAGCCCGGCGGGUGCCCCAGCGAAUCACGCAGGUGCCCACAACCAACACCAGCUAUGAAUCCGCACAUGUGUUCGUGCCUGUAGUAGGAUAGUCGGUGAAGACACAUCUAGAUGCCCCAGGGCGCCGUCCGCAGGGUUAUAUACUUGUGCGUCGUAGAACUUCCGUGUGCCGCCCACAGUGCCUGUGUGUCCCGCCCCAGACUGCAUGCCGCGCGCGCGUCUUGCCGCAGACUUCAAGUCUUCAACCCAACAGCCUCC